rnacentral:rRNA from 1 species
GUACAUGCCGUAUUAAGGCGAAACCGCGAAUGGCUCAUUAAAUCAGUUAUGGUUCCUUGGAUCGUACCUUACUACUUGGAUAACUGUGGCAAUUCUAGAGCUAAUACAUGCAGCAGAGCUCCGACCUUCGGGGACGAGCGCUUUUAUUAGACCAAAACCAAUCGGACUCYGUCCGUAUUUUGUGGUGACUCUGUAUAACUUUGGGCUGAUCGCACGGGCCCGUCCCGGCGACGUAUCUUUCAAGUGUCUGCCUUAUCAACUUUCGAUGGUAGGUUACGCGCCUACCAUGGUCGUAACGGGUAACGGGGAAUCAGGGUUCGAUUCCGGAGAGGGAGCCUGAGAAACGGCUACCACAUCCAAGGAAGGCAGCAGGCGCGCAAAUUACCCACUCCCAGAACGGGGAGGUAGUGACGAAAAAUAACAAUACGGGACUCUUUUGAGACCCCGUAAUUGGAAUGAGUACACUCUAAAUCCUUUAACGAGGAUCCAUUGGAGGGCAAGUCUGGUGCCAGCCGCCGCGGUAACUCCAGCUCCAAUAGCGUAUAUUAAAGUUGUUGCGGUUAAAAAGCUCGUAGUUGGAUCUCAGUUCCAGACGGGUGGUCCGCCUACCGGUGGUUACUGCCUGUUCUGAACAGCCAGCCGGUUUCUCUUGAUGAUCUUCACCGGUUGUCUUGGGUGACCGGCAAGUUUACUUUGAAAAAAUUAGAGUGCUCAAAGCAGGCGUGACGCCUGAAUAAUGGUGCAUGGAAUAAUGGAAUAGGACCUCGGUUCUAUUUUGUUGGUUUUCGGAACACGAGGUAAUGAUUAAGAGGGACAGACGGGGGCAUUCGUAUUGCGACGCUAGAGGUGAAAUUCUUGGACCGUCGCAAGACGAACUACUGCGAAAGCAUUUGCCAAGAAUGUUUCCAUUAAUCAAGAACGAAAGUUAGAGGUUCGAAGGCGAUCAGAUACCGCCCUAGUUCUAACCAUAAACGAUGCCAGCCAGCGAUCCGGCUGUGUUCCUCAAAUGACACGCCGGGCAGCUUCCGGGAAACCAAAGCUUUUGGGUUCCGGGGGAAGUAUGGUUGCAAAGCUGAAACUUAAAGGAAUUGACGGAAGGGCACCACCAGGAAUGGAGCCUGCGGCUUAAUUUGACUCAACACGGGAAAACUCACCCGGCCCGGACACAGGAAGGAUUGACAGAUUAAGAGCUCUUUCUUGAUUCUGUGGGUGGUGGUGCAUGGCCGUUCUUAGUUGGUGGAGCGAUUUGUCUGGUUAAUUCCGAUAACGAACGAGACUCUAGCCUACUAAAUAGACGUUCCGAUCACUUCUGUCGGACG